AGUGUGCAUACUAAAUGGUAGAUUUUCAACAUGUUAUAACAUACGCUAUUCACCAAUAAGGCUCAAAGGAAAUAGACGAGCUGUUCAUGGCUGGAGGAAAGUUAACGGAGACUCAUUUUGUCGUCAGUAAUUCUGUGACUUUGUGACAUCACACUUUGAUGUCACACAUUUUCAUAACUCAUUUUCAUAAUGACUGGCAGCUAGUUUGGCUAGUGAGAAUUGAUUUCCCACAGCUGCUGUGUUGUUGUUGAUGGUGUAGGGUCAGGCGUGCGUGAGCUGACUAAUCAGAGGAGGCCGGGUGUUCAGGAGGGGGGUUGCUUUAAAGAGACAGGAGCUAAAACAGACUAUUUGGGAAUACAGUGCUACUGUACAGUGCUGGACAGUAUGAGAUAAAGCGUAAUAUAUAUGCUUUGAAUAAAUGCAGUUGCUCAUAUUCUACCUUUUUCUGUCUGUAUAAAAUGGAUGUUGAUUCAUAUACUUAUCAAAUAUGUAUUAUAUACUGUGUAGAAUUAGUAUGUACUACUGAUUUGGAACACAGCAGAACAGCCAUGCUAACUGCAGGGUUUUGAGCUAAAUGUUGACAUGCUAACAUGCUGCCAUAGCUAACAUGCCAUUGUAUAAUCUGUAUAAUGUUUAUGAUGUUCACCUUGAUAGUUCAGCAUUUGGUCAAUUAUGUCAUUUUAAUGGGGGUUAACAUUAACUGACCAAAGUGCACUUAAUGACAACGUUCAUAAACUUUGUGACAGUGUCAUGUUGGUCUUAUCCACACCUCCUCAGAUAAAGUGUUGGCCAUUUUGCUUACAUUUAGGUAAUGGUUGAAAACAUUUGGAAUCCAAAUCAUGUAACCUCAAAGAUGGAACACAGAAGGUGUAUAUAUUUUAACUAAAUUGUGUUCAAUACCCCGUUGCAGGAGAUACAAGCGAGGAGUCGGACAGAAGGGGACAGGCAGUGAUUACAGAGGAUGAGAGAGAACAAAGAGUAGAGGACAGAAAAGAGAAAUGAACAGAAAUAAUUUAAUGUUGAGGGCAGACAGAUGAGAGGAAAUGAGAGAGAGGGAGCAGCAAGCAGAGAGACAAAGAAAAGGAUCCCAAGAGAGAAAAUCACAGGAGACACAAAGGGAAAAGAUAGAGAGAUCAUUUCAUGCUGGCAUGCCCUGAAACCCCGUAAGACAUACAGCAGGUGACUGAGCUGCUGAAACAAAGUACAGAUCAAUGAAGCAGUGGGAGUACAGGGGGCUGGAGAGAGGAUGCAGGAGACGCAGGAUUGACGUAAGGACACAAACAGAUGAACUGACAAAGACUGAUGGGAAAACACAGGCUUCAAUACACAGGAAGUGGAAAGUAGAACAUGACUCACAGGGAGAGGCAGGAUGAAAUGAAACAGGAAAUCACAAAACUGAAAAAAUCCAAACCAUGACUCCAUGUUUAAUCAAGGGGUUUUGUACUGCUGCAUAUUUUCAUAGACUGAGCAAACACAACAGAAACAGAUACGCCUGCUUUGAGAUUGAGCAGAAGACUCUUAAAGUUAAGAGUAUUAAAUACAAGUGUAGUAAUGUGGUGCAUUUACCAUAACAGGCUACAAUUGAUCUAUCAUCACAGUUGAAACCAGUUUAUUGUCUCUAAGCAGCAGUAAUUUUUUUCACUUCAUCAUUUUCUAUUUCAAAAAGGCCUGACAAACCUUUUGUGUCAUAAAAGAGUUUAACCUAUUUCCAGAUUCAACGAAAUAACUAGAUAAACGGAUGCUGACCCAGUUUCAGUUGGCUUGUUUGUGUAUUUGCAGGGCAUUUCUGUAUUUGGUUUUGUUGUCUGGGUCAAGCUGUUAGAGCCACCGCAUAAAUCAUUAAUAAAUUGCUUUAGGUCCAGACGCUCUCAAACCUUUUUUCCAGAGGACGAGUCGUCAAAUGGUCCAUUUGUGAAGUGUUAUGCUUGAGGAAGAUAAACAACAGCCAGAGUUUUUCUUUUUUUCGCAAUCUUGAAAACGAGACAUUGUUCAUAACAGUCAUUGUUUCUUUUAAUUAAUCUACAAAGCAUUGGUAUAAUUCAUUAUUAUGAAACCCUUAAAAAAGGAAGUACCAAUUUAUUAUAGACGAACUUGGCUCUAUUUUACUCUGUGUAAAAUAGUACUUGUACCCAGUGAAAAUAAGAGGAAGCCUAGAGUAUCUAAGCGGAAAUUCAGUUUCAUGUCAAAAUGUAUACAAGAAUUUGCAGUGCGCCACCUCAUCUGCAUAAACACAACAUCGGCUGCACGAAUCCAGCCACUGUGGUUCUGUUCGGAGGCAUAGCAAAGGAUGUGGCUUAGUGGCUUCCUUUCCUUUGGCCCCAUGGCUCGCUUUUUUAGUGACUGAAAUAAACCACUGAGAGUACCUUUGGCUCCACAUAUGCUAUACCUCGCAUAUGAGUUAUUAAACGAAAAAAAAAACUGCUGAAAGACUUCCUCAAAAGUGUCACAAGAGCACAGCAAAUUCAGGCUCACACUCGCUCUCGUCACACCGUUAACCAUCAAACAUAACCUGGAGAAACAGCUCAAUGGCUGUGGGAGAGGUGAUCUACACAGUGUUGGAGGUGCUCAUCGCUGUUUUCUGCUGCCUUGGUAACCUGUUGGUUAUCGUUGCGCUGUGGCGCAGUAAAAGCAUUAAGCAGCCUACCUUCUGCCUCAUCGUCUCUCUGGCUGUGGCUGACUUCAUGGUUGGCUGCUUGGCCAUCCCGUUGGCUGUGCUUGUUGACGGACGAGUGAAGACUUCGUUCCAUGGCUGUCUCUUCAUCAGCUGUGUGAUCAUCCUGUUGACCCUGGUCUCAGUUUUGUCUCUCAUGGCCAUUGCAGUGGACCGAUUCCUCCGGGUGUAUAUCCCUCUCAGGUACAAAAGGACUGUAACACAGAGACACUCUUGGCUUGCAGUAGCAGCAUGCUGGCUUGUUGCAGUACCUCUGAGUUUUGCUCCCAUGCUUGGAUGGUACAACCAUGACACCUUGUCUGAGUCGGCCAACUCUACUCGUGUCUGCCAGUUUAUAGCAGUGAUUCCAAUGUCAUACCUGGUUUACUUCAGUUUUCUGCUCUGCCACCUCAUCCCUCUGUUGGUGAUGACUGUUUUGUAUGUCUGCAUUUUCUGCACAAUUCUAAGAAACCUCCGUGAGAAACCAGGCAACAGGGUCCAGAAACACUGUCGGAGUUACCUAAGGAAAGAGAAACAGCUGGCAGGAUCCCUGUCUCUGGUCUUGGCUCUGUUUGCCCUGUCGUGGCUCCCUCUGCACACAAUGAACUGCAUCGCUUACUUUGGUCAGAUCGAUGUACCAGUAUUAGCUUUCUAUGUUGGAAUCCUGCUUUCUCACGCUAACUCAGCCGUCAACCCAAUCGUCUACGCGUUCAAAAUACAAAAGAUCAAGGCUGCAUAUCUGAAGAUCUGGAGACGGGGUCUCGCAUGUGGAGAAGAAAAUCAAGGAUCACAGACGAGCAAUUCGACUGACAACAAACUCAGUAUCAUAACAAGUGUGGCCAAAAAUGAGUGAACGAGUAUUUCCUUGUUUGUAUGUUUGUUCUUAAUCAAUAUAUGACUAUACAAGCACAUAGUUUAAUACAAAGAUGGAUUUUCUUCAUGUUAAUAUUUUAUGUAGGUUUGUUGCCAGCUUUGGUUUUAAAAUUUCUGUCGAGCUUAGUUUUGCAUUUUGUGUGAACAUACACGAGUAUAGUUUCAGUCUUUCAGUCUUUUCAUACAGUCUCUAUAUUGGAAAUACAAAAUGAUCAAUAAUCGCACCUGUCUUUCAAUACAUCUGGAAACAAGCAUACUUCCCUAAAUGUCUGCUCUUAAAAACAGUUUCUAGUCAGUGAGGAAGUGAGAAUUUCUGCGAAAAAAAGAAACUCACCGUGAAAUUCACAGUAGCUACCUGGCAGCCAUUGACAUGCAACUUUCUGUAGAGGAAAUCACAGUAGUUGUUCUUGUUUUUUUUGUUUUUUUUUACUGUGAGAUAAAAUAGAGUCUUUUCAAAUCCACAAUUUUGUUUAAGGUAAUAGUGUUAAAUGUGAAUUAUGGCUGCAACCAAAGACUUUAUUUUUGCUGUCAUUAAAAUAUCAGAGGACUGUGGAAAAAUGCAAAAAUAAACUUGAAUACUGAAUAUCAAAGGUUGUAUCAGUGGUCACAUUAACCUUGAUCUCUAAAAUUAAUCUUCAUGGUUUCACAGCAGCAUUUAUUUCCACGUUACUGGGCAUUUAUUGUGGCAGAGCUACUUAAUUUAUGUUUGUGGGAAUGAUGUUUAAGUCUAGUGUACCAGAAGAAAGGGUGGAAAGCAACUAAAGUCUUUCAAAAGUUACUAAUUACUUUCUCAGAUUUGACCGACAAAAUGUGUGAUCAUGUUGGAAUACAUGAUGCACGUUUACGGAUUUGAACCACCCAAUUAUUGACAGCCAGUGAUGUGAAAAGUAACUGAAAGUCAUAACUGAGCAGCUUUCACUGGCAUCAGUGGGUCUCCACCUCUAAAGCUGUGUCCAGAUUUAACACAACAUCCCGGGACUCAGGAGUGGUGGCAGGUAUGAUAAAGGGGCCUCUCAUGGCCCCCACCUGUUGACACCACUGUGCAAAAAUGAGGCUGAUAUUGUUACGUUUGCACUUAAACCUGUGUGGGUUUUCUGGUCUGAGGCUGUUGAAUACCUCUGUAAAUCAGUGUCACAUCUGUCAGUGAUUCAAGUGUAGAUUAAAAGAUAACGUGGCCGCUGAGAGAGUCACUGGUCAACCUUCACUAAACUGCAUCCUGGUUUCACGGAAACGCAAAGUGUGGGAUUUUUCUGCUGACCGGGACAUUUUAAGUACAAGACAACGACCCAGCUCAACGUACAAAGGCUGCAGGUUUCCUGUGCAAGUGUUUUUCUGUCGUUGCGUGGCUGUACUUCAACCCGACCUAACUAUUUUAUGACAUUCCACGCAACUUGGAUUUGAGCCGCUGCCAGUCGGACCGUAAACUUCGCCCGAGAAGGACCAGCUUCACAACUCCGCCUGAGUGCUGUUGUUCGAUCACAACUGGUUGAAGGAAAACGCUGACAGAAAACAGCAGGUUGAGGUAUGACUGUAGCGGAACAGAGCAGAGGAUGUGA